UCUGCCCUCUGACAGUUCUGGCGUUCGAUUUGAAUAGAUCGAAUCUACAUAGGAAUCACAGCAAACAUACGACCUAUUCAAAUCGAACGCCUGAGUUAAUAAAAAAAAAUCGGUUAUAUUCUUUCUCCGUGUAAAUUUCUGGAUACGGGUGUUUCGGCGCUCUGACAUUGACUAUCCCCUUGACGCUCAAACAACAGACAGUAAUCGUCAUUUGGCAAACCUGUCAGUUGACAGCCAUACGUCUUUCGUUCGUUGUUGUUUUUGCGCCUUUGCGGUCCAGAUCCAGAUUCAGAUCUCGAACUCUUUCUGGUGCACUGCGCGCUUUCGGUCUGCCUGUUCUAUUUCGACUGUUCAAGUGGUUGGACGUGCAGUUUUGUUCUAGUUAGGGAAAGUGAAAUCUUUAAUGCGGUGUUAAGUACAUUCCAGCAGUCGGAACGAACGUAAUGACGAAGCGGCGACGAAAGCGUUGGAGACUUCCGGCUCGGUGCCCUUAGGGCACUGGCCAGAACGUCCCAGCUUUGAAGAGAAUCGCAAAAUCAUUUUUACCUACUGGUUGACUCUUGGGGCUUGAACGCGCGAGCAUCGCCAUUGAAUACAAAAUGGUUGCCGGCAGAAUAAGUAGUUCAUUAUGAUGAUGCGCCAUACCGUUUGUGACUAAUGAUUUUGUAAACCAAAAUAGUAAUAGUGUUUCUGUUUUGCUUAAGUCUGUGCUAAAUCUAUGUUUGUUGGACAAUAAAAUAUGUAUGUGAAAUGUGUGUA